AGGUGAGGUAAACACAGUUACCGCGAUGAGUGAGGAGACAUGUGCUGGCGUGCUUAACGGAAAUUUCCGUAUAAAGCUUCUACAUGGAGGUUCAGAUAAAACCGAAGUUGUGUGCACACUGUGCAGUGAUGAACUGUCUUUCCAUCGGGGUACAGUGAAUCUCAAGUACCAUCUUCGGGGCAAAGCACAUCUUUGCUGAUGUUAGCAGAGAUGCUAACACCGAGACCGGAUGUAGCCGUAGACAGCAAAUAAGCGAACUAAUGCUAACGCAAAAUGGAUCGCCACAGACUGCAGACCCAUCAAUAAGACCAAGGGCUUCAGGAUAUUAUCCAGAUCGCAUCAGGGAGUCUCAGCAGUUCAGGCUUCACGGCUCUCCAGUGGUUACGGCGUGUGUAUCCAGAGAGGUGCCAAUCCAGACGUCUCACCACCUUUGCUGAGACAGAGCCCACAAGGCACAGCCAGGCACAAGUCCCUCAUCAGGACAUGCUACGUGCCUUUUAUCAAUGUUGACCAGCCAGACUCCUCGUGGCUCCUGCACGGCUGCACCUGGGAACUUCUCUAAUCCCUCUUCUUUGUCAUCUCAGGAGCAGUGAGACCAAGAGGCAGCAGUUUCACUCUGUGACCAUCAGAUGGGGACAAGGUCUGGAGUCUGAACUAGGUGUUUUCUUGGUUAUUCUGUACAAGCAACAUACAAGCUGAUGAUCUUAUGUCAUUUAUGUACCUUAAGUAUAAUCACUUCUGUCAUAUGCAAAAAAAACAAACACUUUCAUUUUAAAAAAAGUGUCAUUUUUAGUUAAUGAAUCACUGCUAGUUUGAAGGAUCAGUAUGACAAAAAUGCUAAAUAGAUAACAUAAACACAUCUGUCUGUCAA